UCAGCAUAUAAAAAAUCAUACUCCAUACAUUGUUAACUUUAUCAUCGAUGUGUUGUACCCUAGUCUUGUGAAUGACCUUGACACCAUGCAUGUGGAACAUGUACACACGUUAUUUGAACCAAAAUCAUUCGUGCUUUGCUUAUCUCUUUUCAUUUGUGACCACUUUUGAAGAGUUUUCGCAACUAAAGCAUAGAUCUCACAUAUACUCAAAUGCUCAAAUCGCUCAAAUAUAAUUCUUUAUCAAUACAUAGCAUCGUAUUGUCUUCUUUUUUUUCUUUCUACUUGUACAAGGCCUAUGCAGAGCUCGAGUAAGGAUAAAGACGAGUGUGUACUACCUCCAUACCCAUAAAAGAAUAUUUUUUGAAUCCAGCCUACCAUCCAAAUGUCAUCAUCAGAAACUUUUUUUUAACAAAAAUCUAGGUCUAAAACAUUUCUAUGAGAAUCUAAAUCCGUGCCAAACACACCCUUCAUCACAAAACACUAUCUUCAAGAAACUACCUCUAUUUGAGAUAAUUAUAGAUGUACUCCCUCCAUCCAAAUUAUAAGUCAGUUCUA
rnacentral:lncRNA from 1 species